UCAUAGCUCAGCCGGUAGAGCAAGAGACUCUUAACCUUAGCGCUGUGGGUUCGAAUCCCACGUUGGGCAAAA